rnacentral:rRNA from 1 species
UAGGGAAUAUUGCAUAAUGGGCGAAAGCCUGAUGCAGCAACGCCGCGUGUGCGAUGAAGGCCUUCGGGUUGUAAAGCACUUUUGACCGGGAAGAGGAAGGACGGUACCGGUGGAAUAAGCCUCGGCUAACUACGUGCCAGCAGCCGCGGUAAAAACGUAGGAGGCGAGCGUUAUCCGGAUUUACUGGGUGUAAAGCGCGUGCAGGCGGUCAGCUAAGUUGGGUGUGAAAGCUCCUGGCUCAACUAGGAGAGGUCGCUUAAGACUGGCGGACUGGAGAGCAGUAAGGGAAGGUGGAAUUCCGGGUGUAGUGGUGAAAUGCGUAGAUACCCGGAGGAACACCAGUGGCGAAAGCGGCCUUCUGGACUGUAUCUGACGCUCAGACGCGAAAGCUAGGGGAGCAAACGG